rnacentral:rRNA from 1 species
UGGGGAAUAUUGGACAAUGGGCGCAAGCCUGAUCCAGCCAUGCCGCGUGAGUGAUGAAGGCCCUAGGGUUGUAAAGCUCUUUCACCGGUGAAGAUAAUGACGGUAACCGGAGAAGAAACCCCGGCUAACUUCGUGCCAGCAGCCGCGGUAAUACGAAGGGGGCUAGCGUUGUUCGGAUUUACUGGGCGUAAAGCGCACGUAGGCGGACUAUUAAGUCAGGGGUGAAAUCCCGGGGCUCAACCCCGGAACUGCCUUUGAUACUGGUAGUCUUGAGUUCGAGAGAGGUGAGUGGAAUUCCGAGUGUAGAGGUGAAAUUCGUAGAUAUUCGGAGGAACACCAGUGGCGAUGGCGGCUCACUGGCUCGAUACUGACGCUGAGGUGCGAAAGCGUGGGGAGCAAACAGG